UACGGAGGGUGCAAGCGUUAUCCGGAUUCACUGGGUUUAAAGGGUGCGUAGGCGGCCUUGUAAGUCAGGUGUGAAAUCCCUCGGCUCAACCGAGGAACAGCGCUUGAUACUGCAAGGCUUGAGGGAGACAGGGGUAAGCGGAACUGAUGGUGGAGCGGUGAAAUGCGUUGAUAUCAUCAGGAACACCGGUGGCGAAAGCGGCUUACUGGGUCUCUUCUGACGCUGAGGAACGAAAGCUAGGGUAGCGAACGGG
rnacentral:rRNA from 1 species